AGUUUGAUCCUGGCUCAGGACGAACGCUGGCGGUAUGCUUAACACAUGCAAGUCGAACGAGAAGGAAGAGCUUGCUCUUCCUGAAAGUGGCGAACGGGUGAGUAACGCGUGGGUAACCUACCCUUUGGAAAGGAAUAGCCUCGGGAAACUGGGAGUAAUGCCUUAUAAGAUACGUUUGUCGCAUGGCAUUUGUAUUAAACGCUCCGGCGCCAUAGGAUGGACCCGCGUCCCAUUAGCUAGUUGGUGAGAUAACAGCUCACCAAGGCCACGAUGGGUAACCGGUCUGAGAGGGCGAACGGUCACACUGGAACUGAGACACGGUCCAGACUCCUACGGGAGGCAGCAGUGGGGAAUAUUGCGCAAUGGGGGCAACCCUGACGCAGCAAUACCGCGUGAGUGAAGAAGGUUUUCGGAUCGUAAAGCUCUGUUAUUGGGGAAGAAAAAAAGACGGUACCCAAGAAGAAAGUUCCGGCUAACUACGUGCCAGCAGCCGCGGUAAUACGUAGGGAACAAGCGUUGUCCGGAUUUACUGGGCGUAAAGGGCACGCAGGCGGUUUUUUAAGUCAGAUGUGAAAGGCCACAGCUCAACUGUGGACAUGCAUUUGGAGCUGAAAGACUUGAGUAUUGGAGAGGCAAGUGGAAUUCCUAGUGUAGCGGUGAAAUGCGUAGAGUUUGAUCCUGGCUCAGGACGAACGCUGGCGGUAUGCUUAACACAUGCAAGUCGAACGAGAAGGAAGAGCUUGCUCUUCCUGAAAGUGGCGAACGGGUGAGUAACGCGUGGGUAACCUACCCUUUGGAAAGGAAUAGCCUCGGGAAACUGGGAGUAAUGCCUUAUAAGAUACGUUUGUCGCAUGGCAUUUGUAUUAAACGCUCCGGCGCCAUAGGAUGGACCCGCGUCCCAUUAGCUAGUUGGUGAGAUAACAGCUCACCAAGGCCACGAUGGGUAACCGGUCUGAGAGGGCGAACGGUCACACUGGAACUGAGACACGGUCCAGACUCCUACGGGAGGCAGCAGUGGGGAAUAUUGCGCAAUGGGGGCAACCCUGACGCAGCAAUACCGCGUGAGUGAAGAAGGUUUUCGGAUCGUAAAGCUCUGUUAUUGGGGAAGAAAAAAAGACGGUACCCAAGAAGAAAGUUCCGGCUAACUACGUGCCAGCAGCCGCGGUAAUACGUAGGGAACAAGCGUUGUCCGGAUUUACUGGGCGUAAAGGGCACGCAGGCGGUUUUUUAAGUCAGAUGUGAAAGGCCACAGCUCAACUGUGGACAUGCAUUUGGAGCUGAAAGACUUGAGUAUUGGAGAGGCAAGUGGAAUUCCUAGUGUAGCGGUGAAAUGCGUAG
rnacentral:rRNA from 1 species